CCGACAAAGGAAAUUAUGAAUCGUAGCUUCAAUAAUCUGUUUCUCGUUGUUUCUAUCAUUUUAUUGUCAGGAUACUUCGUAAUUCCUUCCGCAGGAAUGGAUUCACCGAGGUGCGGAACUGGCUACCCUGCAGAAUUCUGCGGUUCCCCACUUAUGAACGAAGCGUGUCCGGACAUGUGUAGAAGACUGAAAAGGGGAAGAAAAUAAUUAUAGGUAUAAAACACAUAAAUAUGAUGGUUGAAUUAAUAAUUCUUUGCUAUUUUCUGUUCGGUGUAAAAGAAUGUGAAAAUAAAUAAAACUUAUUCAUCAUUAA